AUAUUUUAUGGCCUGGCCCAAACCUGUUAUAAUGCAUAUGCUGUAUACAAGUCCACGAAAGAUCCAACUGUCGGCUCUCAGAUGUGGGUGAUGCCGUUCAUCCUGCUGAACUCUCUGGUGGCUGCAGUGAUGACCGUGGUGGCCUGUAUGAUCAGUGUGGGCUUUGACAACACUUGUCAAUCGUUUGAAGACAUCACCAAAAAGGACAGUUGCGCUUUGGCUGAAAACAAGCACGUUAGAUCAGCAUGCAAUGGACCAGAGGAGGAGAAAGAUUACGAUUCAGGGAAUUUUUACAAGCUUUUUCAUGUUGCAGAGGUGGCCGCCUGGAUGUGUUGGUUGAUUUGGAUUGCCCUUGUCAUUUCUGGAAUUAUCCGAGCCGUUCGGAAUCGUCGACUCCGCACUGGAAAAGCAGACAAAGCAAACUUUGCUGAGGCUGAUCCCACUGCCUAAACAUGAUUGCAGGGAAACCAAAAAAUCCAAAAACCAAAAAAAAUAUUGUUGGUGAAUCUCGUCUGGAGUAUGGUUCCCUUUCUUUCCCUGUAUCAUGGUUGCUGUUCUGCAUUAAGAAACUUGCUUCAUACAAUGUAAAUACAUCAAAUAAGUAGCAGUGCUGUACGGUAUAAAACUCAACUGUGUUACAGUCAAAGAAAAAAGAGACUGUGUCCAUCUUUGCUAGUCCAGGGAACAGUUCAUUUUGUCUUGACAGGGAUACCUGAGGGGGUACGGGAACUCUAGCAGGGCGCGGCUAGGCCACAGUGUCGAGGGUGAGGCGCCGGGGGCCUUUAUCCACAUAAAUCUCGGUCUCAUUCUCUGGUCCCUCAUCUUCCGGGUCUAUUUCUCCCUCAAACAUCUGCUGCAAGAGCACCUCCACUUUCUUACGACCUGUGAGAGAACAGGUGGAAUCGUAACCCCUUUUCUACAGACAAAUCAGGAAUACUCUCUGUGUCAGAAUCCGAGUCUGGCUGUUCCACGAUGUUGAGCUCUUCAUUGGGAACCAGUUCAGAAUUGUCAUUAGCUGCAGAUAGCUGUCUCUGCCUUGGCCCUGUCCUGAAACAGGGAUAAAGAUCACCAUUGAUGUCCCUGUGAAUGAUUAUUUAAAGGGGUGCCUGUCUUGCUACAUUCUUAAGCAGCAGCCAGCUGUAAUAGAUGGCAGCCAAAACGAUGCUCAUGAAAAUCAACCAACAAAUCACAAUGUAGAAGAUGAAGAACAAGGCAAACCAGUUACUGCUGUCAUAGGCUGGCAUCCUGCAGAAACAAUGGAGAAAUAAUUAAAGUGUACUGUAUUCUACCAAAAAUUCACCAAGCUGACUGCAACGCACAUGGGUCCUAAUGGUCACCUGAGUAUUAUAUAUAGCCCAGUAAAGGAUCCAAGAAAUACCAUUUAACAAUUAAUUUAAAAAUUACUGAGGAAUUACAAAAAUAGUUAAACUGAUAAUUAUAGGAAAUUUGAAAAUAUGAUGUUCUGUUUUAAUGAUGUAAAGUUGAAAUCCAUUGGAGGAAGGGGGUUUACAAAAAUAUGAUCAGUGGCAGAUUAAAUUAGCAAGUAAUUACUUUUCUGACAAUUUUUUUCAGGUUCCAAACAAUUUGAUAUUUCCAAGUCCCUGGACUUUAGUUGCCAUGGUAACCAGUACUGGUACUUACAUGACAUCAGGGCUGUUUGCUGUGGUAACUAAGACAUAGAGAUCCCAUAUACUGUCCAAGUAGGUCUCAAAGUAUGGAUCUCCAUUAGCAUACACUAGAUCCCUGAAUAAAAAGUAUGCUUCAUUGUCUAUAAAAUAUCACAAAUAAUAUGUGUUUUGUAAGAUUGAUACCAAGAAUUGACUUAAAAGACUGAAUGAG
rnacentral:misc_RNA from 1 species